CUCAGUUACUGUGCACCGUAAAGAGUUUUCGGGGUGAAAUUCAGCCCAACUGGUGACUCAAAGGCUCUCUCCCAGCGAGAGGGCCAGGUGGAGCAAGACAUUAAAAACUAAUCUAAGAAGAGAGCCCAGGACCAGAAACUUUGGACAGAAAACCAGAGAGGAUCUUUUCGGAUGUCCUGACAGAGAAAGGGCUGUGGUGCUUUCCGAAGAUCCUGGCCAGGAAAGAUGUUUUGCCAUGGGAUCAAGAGACUGGCGCUGGGAUUCAGAGUACUGGGGACUUCUGUGACAGCCUGAAGUUGGCUGGAAGAUAUGGCAGCUUGGUCAAGCCAUUUAAUUCUAGUGUUGGUGUUGGUCUUUCAUUUAUAAGAUGAAGUGGGAGGUAGAGAGGCCCCUUCUGCCUAGGCAAGCCUUUCUCUCUUUCACUUAAAAAAAAAAAAAAUUAUUGCCAGGACAAGGCCUUUUAUAUUCUGAUUAAAUAAAUAUAUCCUGUAAGAGGCCCAUUUUUCAGGCAACCUAAAAUAAUAACCCCUGACAUCAAUGUUGUAUUUUGAUUUCAAAUAAGUUUUUUGAAGAAAACAGUUUAAAUCUCUGAAAAUAAAUGAAUACUCG
rnacentral:lncRNA from 1 species